rnacentral:lncRNA from 1 species
CCUCCUUCCUGCUCAGCCCAAAGGCAGGAGUCAUGGAACCCCAGGAAAGGACGGAACAGAACAGGACAGGGCCCCCAGCCCCAUCUUUAUCUCACCGGCUGCUGCUGGCUGCCAAGCCUCCCCUGAAUGGGGGAGGGUGGUCUGUGUGAGUCAGCGGAGGCACGAAGUGGAGGAAGACGGGAGCCUCUGCCAGGCCCGUUGAGCGUGGCCUCAGAAAUGGUGAGAAGUGCCCUCCCAGCUGUUCCUCCUGGCCGCCCUAGGCUCUGCAACUGCAGGGUGCUGAGGCCUCAGGCCCAGAGAUUUGACCUCUGCCUUCUUGCCUCUCCCCUGAAACCAGGGCCUAGUGGGGGACUCCUGAGUCCGCUCUGCCCCAGCCCCUGGGGCCCUUGAUCUUGGGAGAAAACCAAGGAGAUUUUGCGGCCCCAGCCCUGCCCGGGGGAUGAGGACAGAAGAGGGAGUCAUGACAAGAAAGAUGCAGGGCCAAAGUCCCCUCAGGCCGGGGGCCCAGGGGUGGCGAUCAGGGAGCGGUUCUGUGCUUCCGGCUCUGUAAUCAAGGACACGCCAGGCUGAAAUCCUCUAGUCCUCAACCAACCCACCAGGGCAUGGAGACCCAUGCACAUUAUCAAUAAGAAAGUCAGGGGCCUGGCCUUGCUUUUCCACAUCUGGAAUGUGGGUAGGUCCAUCAGAGCCACGGUCUCUGCUGUCACUAUUGGGCCCCCCGCCUCCCUGUUCCCGCCUGUCAGAGAAGCCUGGAGACAGGCACCUGAUUCUAUUUAAGCAACUUUUAUUUUAUUUUAUUUUAUUGUUUUCAGGGGAAGGUAUGAAUGCAGUCCCCCACUACCACAAAUUAUGCAGGCGAGUGUCCCACACUUGGGGAAAUCACAGGGGUCAGCACAUCCGGGGUGCAAUUGAGACGGUUUGGCUCUAUUUCACUCAAAUCUCAUCUGGAAUUGUAAUCUCCACAUGUCAAGGGAAGGACCUGGUAGGAAGUGAUUGGAUCAUGGGGGUGGUUUCCACCAUGCUGUUCUGGUGAAACUGAGUGAGUUCUCACGAGGUCUGAUGUUUUUCUUGUUUGUUUGUUUUGUUUUGUUUUGUUUUUUUGAGACGGAGUUUCAUUCUUGUUGCCCAAGCUAGAGAGCAGUCGCGCAAUCUCUGCUCACCACAACCUCCGCCUCCUGGAUUCAAGCAAUUCCUGCCUCAGCCCCUCUAGUAGCGGGGAUUACAGGUGCACGCCACCAUGCCCGGUUAAUUUUUGUAUUUUUAGUAGAGACGGGGCCUCACCAUGUUGGCCAAGCUGGUCUCGAACUCCUGACCUCAGGUGAUCCACCCACCUCUGCAGUGGGAUAAUUAAGGAAUCAGAGAGACCGAGGGGUUAAGGUGGAAUUAUUUAAUUAUUUAGGUGCACUGACCCAGUGGGAUUCACAUCCAAAGGACUGAGGCUUGAACAAAGAGUCCGGUUACCUUUUAAGCAUUUUGUGGGAUGGGGGGAGAUUUGUGCUGGGGGAAGCAUAUUACAGAAGCGAGAAACAAAGAUAGUUAUUCAGUCAAGACAUGCAUUACAUUAUUUCUUACUUUUUAAGGAACAACUUGUGUUAUGACUUGAGAUUAUCUGUUUAGUGACCUUGCAGCUGCACAGCUAGAGAAACAGGGUCUUCACGAUGCCUGGGAAAGGGAGAGAUAAGGCUCACUAGCCACAGAAAAACAGGCAGUCAAUUUUUAAAGGACUUUAGCUCUUUUUCUUCCUCAGGGGGAAUUGGUUUUUUCUUACAUACAGCUGAGUUUUUGCUUACACAUUUUUUAAUUUCUUUUAAUUCCUGUGCUACCUUGGCCUCCCAAAGUGCUGGGAUUAUAGGUGUGAGCCACCACACCCAGCCUGAGAUCUAAUGUUUUAAAAGUGUUUGGCAGUUCCCUGCUUUCUUUCUCUCUCCCUCUCUCUCUCCCCUGCCGCCAUGUAAGACGUGCCUUGCUUUCCCUUUGCCUUUCACCAAGAUUGUAAGUUUCCUGAGGCCUCCCCAGUUUUUUGGAACUGUGAGUCAAUUAAUCCUUUUUUCUUUAUAAAUUACCCAGUCUCAGGUAUUUUUUACAGCAGUGUGAAAACGGACUAAUAGAGAAAAUUAGUAUCAGGCGUGGGGCACUGCUAUAAAGAUAACCUGAAAAUGUGGAAGCAACCUUGGAACUGGGUAACAGGAAGAGGGUAGAACAGUUUGGAGGACUCAGAAGAAGAUAGGAAGAUAUGGGAAAGUCUGGAACUUCCUAGAGACUUGUUGAAUGGCUUUCACCAAAAUGCUGAUAGUGAUAUGCAUAAUCAAGUCCAGGCUGAGGUGGUCUCAGAUGGAGAUAAGAAACUUGCUAGGAAUUGGAGUAAAGGAGACCCUUGCUAUGCUUUAGCAAAGAGACUGAAGGAAUUUUGCCCCUGCCCUGUGGAACUUUGAACUUGAGACAGAUGACUUAGCAUGUCCUGCAGUAGAAAUUUCUUUCCUUUUCUUUUUUUUUUUUUUUUUUGAGAGGGUGUCUCUCUGUGUCACCAGGAUGGAGUGAAGUGGCAUGAUCUUGAUUUCGGCUAACUGCAACCUCUGACUCCCUGGUUCAAGUGAUUCUCUUGCCUCAGCCUCCUAAGUAGCUGGGAUUAUAGGACACGCCACCAUACCCAGCUAAUUUUUGUAUUUUUAGUAGAGACGGGGUUUCACCAUGUUGGCCAGGAUGAUCUCAAUCUCCUGACCUCGUGAUCUGACCGCCUCAGCCUCCUAAAGUGCUGGGAUUACAGGUGUGAGCCACUGCACCAGGCCAGCAGUAGAAAUUUCUAAGCAGCAAAGCAUUCAAUAGGUGACCUGUCUUUUCCUAAAAGCGUAUGGUUAUAUGCACUCACAAAGAAAUGGUUUGAAAUUAGAACUUACAUUUAAAAGGGAAGCAGAGCAUAAAAGAUUGGAAAAUUUGCAGCCUGACCAUGUGGUAGAAAGAAAAAUUUUUUCUGGGGAGAAAUUCAAGCUAGGCCCAGGGCCUUGCUGCUCUGUGCAGCCUUGGGACAUCGCCCUGUGCCCCAGCCACUCCAGCUCCAGCUGUGGCUAAAGAAGGCCAAGGUACAGCUCAGGCCGUCGCUUCAGGAGGUGCAAGUCCCAAGCCUUGGCAGCUUCCACGUGGUGUUGGGCCUGCAGGUCUGCAGAAGACAAGAGCUGGGCUUUGGGGGCCUCCGCCUAGAUUUCAGUGGACCUAUGAAAUGCCUGGACGACCACGCAGAGGUCAGCGUCAGGGGCAGGGCUGUCAUGGAGAACGGCUACUAGGACAAUGCAGAGGGGAAAUGUGAGGUUGGAGCCUCCACACAGGCUCUCUACUGGGGCACUGCCUAGUGGAGCUGUGAGAAGAAGACCACUCUCCUCCAGACCCCAGAAUGGUAGAUCCACCAAGAGUUUGUACGCUGUGCCUGGAAAAGCCGCAGGCACUCAGCACCAGCCCAUGAAAGCAGCUGCGGGGGCUGCACCCUGCAGAGCCACAGGGGCAGAGCUGCCCGAGGCCCUGGGAACCCACCCCUUGCAUCAGCGAGCCCUGGACGUGAGACAUGGAGCCAAAGGGAUCGCUUGGGAGCUUUCAGAUUUAACGACUGCCCUGGUGGAUUUGGGUCUUGCCUGAGGCCUGUAGCCCCCUUUUUUGGCCAAUUUCUCCAUUUUGGAAAGGGAACAUUUACCCAAUGCCUGUGCCCCCAAUGUGUCUUGGAAGUAACUAACUUGAAUUUACAGGCUUAUAGGCAGAAGAGACUUGCCUUGUCUCAGGUGAGACUUUGGAUUGGCCUUUUGGGUUGAUGUUGGAAUGAGUUUAGACUUUGGGGGACUGUUGGGAAGGCAUGAUUGAGUUUUGAAAUGUGAGAAGGACAUGAGGUUUGGGAGGGUCCAGGGGCAGAAUGAGGUGGUUUUCUCUGUGUCCUCACCCAAAUCAUCUCAAACUGUAAUCCCCACAUGUCGAGGGAGGGGCCCGGUUGGAGGUGACUGGAUCAUGGGGGCAGUUUCCCCCAUGCGCUUCUGGUGUGAGUGAGUUCUCACAAGAUCUGAUGGUUUAAAAGUGUUUGGCAGCUGGGUGUGGUGGCUCAUGCCUGUAAUCCCAGCACUUUGGGAGGCCGAGGUGGGCGGAUCACCUGAGGUCAGGAGUUUAAGAC